UUCUCGUACAACUCGUUUCUCUUUACCUGUAUUUUCUCUCUCGUUAUCGACCCUGUUUUUAUAUUUACUGACUUUGAUUUUGGAUUAUUCUCUGAUAUUGCCUCGCCUGUAUUUGAACCCUGGACUGUUUAAUCGUUUAUGAGAGACAGAAGGAGGGACGGUUGGGUUGAUAAAGAUAAAAAGCCACAAAGGAAGCGCAGCGUCGGGGUUUGAGUGACUGCCAGCUGUCUCUGAUCCCCACAUUAAAGCGAUACUUCAGGAGAAACUGAAUGGGAUCCUUUCUGAAGACAAGAAAGUGACAUUGAUAUAACCCUGCAGCAAAGCUGAAUAUAACAGGAUUGAAGGUAUUGUGCUAAAAUAGCUGAUGCUUUCUGUGUGAGCAAACACUAUUGUUCUGUUUUGACUUCAGAUAUUCAGUCUUGUGCAAAAGUUUUAGGCACCUGUGGGAAUUUCAGUAAAGAAAAGGCUUCUUAUCUGUGCAGUAAGUGUUUAUUAUCUCAGUAAAACACAUUACAGCAUUACAAUAAAUACAAACAG